CCAGAGGUAGAGCAUCCGCAACAGACAGCUGCCCAGCUCUGCUUGAAGAUCUCCUCCAGGGAGGGGAAGUUACAUCAUGCAGUCACAUGAUACAACAAACUUGCUACAGUGAAGCAGAUCUGGUGCACAGACCUCUUGGGUGUUGUUCUGAAUUCCACCAUAGAAGAAAGGCUUUUGAAAGUGAAAUCCACAAGGUGGCGCUGGUUGAAUGUAUCAGGCCUUGGUUUAUCUGUGUUGGUUAACAGUGAGGGUUAAGAAUCGGAUGAGCCUAUGAUAUAUCUGCAGUUUUGAUCAGUGUGACUGCAUUCCUCUGUCAAGAGGACAAGAAAAUGUUGCCAGAUAGCAUGGUCAGUUAAGGGAGAAUAAUAUAUUCUUACAUGAAAACUAUUCUUAGAUGAAGACUGGUAGACGCUUACUGCAGGGAAAUACUUCGGCUACAGUCCUAAACUUUUUUUAUUUGCAACUUUCUCAUCGUCACAUGGGCAUGCCUGUGUAAUAAGGCUUUUUAUGUACUGUGAAGAAUUUGAUAUUGUACAUCCUACCCACUGUAUGCAC